GUAGGAGAGCCUUCAUCUCCCAGGCUGGAGAGGGGGACAGGAGUGCAGCUGGGAGGGGUGAUUGCACGGCGAGUGAGCGUAUGUGUUACAGUCCUGCUAGCUCAGCAAAUAAUAGUGGGGAAAUUAACUGCGAUGGGCUUCAAGGUGCUUGCACAAGAUCCUGGAUACCAAGAAACUAUCCCAACCUGUCCCAGUGUCCUUUCCUUGUUACUUAUAUCCAGCACUAAAACUGUAACGGAUUUGCCUUUCCUGGGUUGCAAUCCCCUUCUGCUGCCAGAUGCAGAGGGGUCUUAUGCGACCUGAGGGACAGAAACUCCAUAUUGGCCAAAAGCUUCCCCAUAUCUGUGCUCUUCCAUGGCUGUCCUAGGAAUGAACUGAGGCUCCUAUUGUGUCCUUUCCUCUUCUCCCUGCUCUUAAUGCUGAAUUGAGGAGGAGAAAUGUGAGGUAAUGUGUGUGAAGGCAGUGUACCUCUUCAGUGAAAGAGGUGAGAGCCUACUAGGGAAGGGUGCUUAACUGAUAGAAAAUGAGGGUCAAUCCUGUAGUUGGAGCCAAGAGAAGACAAUUCCCUUCCAAAAUAAUUUGAUUGUAAGGAGGACUAUUGAAGGAAGAAGUUGGGAAUAAUAAGAAAGAUUCUGAGAAGAAAGUCAUAUGUACGGCCAGUGUAGAUUUAGGUACAAGGGGUAGAAGUUUUGGACAAUGACUUAAGUCGAGAAGUGGGAUUAAAUAUUCAUCUAUUUGUUAACCCUGUAAUCCUCUGAAACAUUUGUCACAGCCCACGUACAAGAACUGGGAUGCUGUUCAGGAAAAAAAAGAGGUCAGCUUCUUGAAAGGUGAACCAAGGCUGCUCACAGAGGCACCUUCUGUCAGGCGCAGGAAGGUGGAAUCCCAUUACUGUCUGCAAAUUAAGCCACUGGGGACCAGUUUCAAACAGAAAAGGAAGGCUGUGAGCUUUGCUGCCUGUGCCAAGGACAGUAGCUGUUACAAAUAGGUUUUGAGGAUGGGGUGAUCAUGAGCCUGUGAUACCAAAACGCUCCUUCCCCCAGUAGGGAAGUGUAGAAGGGAAGUGAAAGCUAUCGGGUUUCCAGCUGAACUGCCCUGCACUUGAGGUACCCGAGCUGUUGCCCACUUCACAGCACCAGUGAAUACUUCAGCUUUAAAAUAUUUGGAUCUGGAAAAAGGCAGUGAGGUUGUCAUUUUAGACCACAGAGAAAUAAAUCUCUGCAGAUCACUGCUACCAGGCUUUAUCCAUAGGAUUCCUGAGUUGUGGCAUGAUUGCCCCAGAGAGAUCUGGGUCCUGUUGUGGCAGGCAAGACCUACUUAGGGAGGUGUGUGCAUGCCUGUAACUGGGUAGAGAGUGGCUAUGGGGAUCACUUGCCUUUUUGAAGACCUUUCUAAGCCAUCACCCACUGUUUGUAAUUUUCCUAUGUAACAGACUGAAAUCAGCCUGGCUCCAGCCCAUUUCAUUGCGGCUGCUUGGGCGCUGUGGGCAAUGUGGCAGGCGGCAGGAAUCACACAGCUUGCCUUUGGCUCUUCAGCUGGAUACUUAUGCACAGCCUGGGCAGGAGCUAGAGACAGAGUGCUCCAGAAAUGGAAGCCUACCUUUCUCUGUGGUAAUAAAUAUGUCUGCAUCUGCUACCAGGCAGGUAGAUGGUGGAGCACAAACCAGUGUAUAACUCAUAUCAUGCCUGGAGAAAAGGAAGAUUCUGUGGUGAAAGGGUAUUUCAGUGUAUCCACGUGGCAAGUACAUAAGUCACCACCCACAGGUUUGCUCUGGUCAGUGCUGCCUGCUAAGGAUCUGCAAGGUUGCAGGUGCCUUUUGACCCUGGUUCGUUACCCUUUGCACUCUUCCAAAUAAUUUAUAUCUUCGUAUGUCUGGCAGUUGUUUGGGAACCUGUCCAAGCCUUCAAAUGAAAGGCCAGGAGAGGGAAUUGGUUUUCUAUUUCUGGCUUUGCAACUUAACACCUGCCUAAUCUGUGGCAAGUCACUUGGGGCCAAAAUCUUACAGAGGUGAGUUAGUGUGUACUCCUCAUUUUGAGUCUUUCUCUUGGUGUCCACCUGUAGCUUGAUAUGCUUUCAGAAUUUAAUCCUCAGUGUUCCUGUCUCAGUUGCCACUUAAAUCUUGUGGUACCUUCCUCUUUUUUAAUGUGAAAAACUUCCUGCUGCUUGGCCCACUUGGAUGAGUGUUAGUUUUGAUGCUGUUGAGUAAUGCCCUUGACCGGACGUUGGAUAUUUCUCUAUCAUCAGGUUUAAACCUGAAUGUAAAAACUUGCUCCUUGGAUUGAAAUCCAUUCAAAACGUAAGAGGAAAAUGCUGAAAUGCUCUCACUUGUUCACCUGUCCCAACCUCCCCUCAUCUUUAUUUUUUAUUCUGCUAACUCUGUGCUUAAGGUGUUUCCCCAAGUAAGGGACCUAGAAUCACCUGCAUGCCUUCCAGGAGAGCAUCCUCCCAGAACGGGUGAAGUGGAACUCCCCCUCCCGAGACUGGCUUUUUAUAGGUAACUACCUGGGGCAAUCACCCUAUUAGAUUACCUGUGGGCCUCACAUUUCCAACUAAAUGGGCUCGAUAAUGCUUUCUUGGCUAAUAGGACUGCUCGAGAGCUGAUUUAUCACCAUUGUCAAGUGUGACAUGGUCCUAGGGAAAAAAAGCGACAUAAAACCAGAGUGGAGCUAAGACGUUUGGAAGGACUUAUUGACAGGCACAUGUACAUUUAAAAAUUGUUACUCUGUUUUGCUUAAUGAGCUCAAACCCCCAUUCUUUGUGCCACAGUGUGCUUUUCCAUAGUGAAGUGCAACAAGGACUUCCAAAGAGCUGAGGCAAAACCUUGCAGAGCUGGCAGCCUGGAGCUCCAGGCUCGGCUUUGUGCUUGUGAGCCUGGUUUCCACUGAGGUCCUGCAGAUGCCACUUUGGUUUGGAUGAUUAUACGCAGACUGAAGAGUAAAGCUUUUAACAGAAGUCAUCACCUAAAGGCUGGAGGAGAGGAUCCAACUCCUGUGUGAUGUUUGCCUCCCAGGGACCUUCCUGGCUCCCACCAGAAGUUCCCCAGACCUGCACAUUGACUUACAGCUGGGAUUACAGCAGAACACAUCUCCUCAACAUUCAGUCUCAGAAGAAGAGAAAUAGGAAACCUGAGGGAAAAUGAAUCAUGGAAUCACAGAAUAUGCCGAGUUGGAAGGGACCCAGAAGGAUCAUCAAGUCCAACUCCUGGCCCUGCACAGAACCAUCCCAAAGAGUCACACCAAGUGCAUGAGAGUAUCUUCCAAACACUUCUUGAACUCUGUCAGGCUUGGUGCUGUGACCACUUCCCUGGAGAGCCUGUUCAGUGCCCAACCACCCUCUGGGUGAAGAACCUCUUUCUAAUAUCCAGAUCUAAACCUCUCCUGACACAACUUCAGGCCAUUCCCUUGGGUCCUGUCACUGGUCACCACAGAGAAGAGAUCAGUGCCUGCCCGUCCUCUUCCCCUCACUAGGAAGUUGUUACUGCAAUGAGGUCUCCCCUCAGUCUCCUCCAGGCUGAACAGACCAAGUGCCCUCAGCCACUCCUCACAUGGCUUCCCCUCAAGGCCCUGCACCAUCUUCAUUGCCCUCUUUGGACUCUCUCUAACAGUUUAAUAUCUUUCUUAUAUUGUGAUGACCAACACUGCACACAAUAUUCAAGGUGAGGCUGCCCCAGUGCAGAGCAGAGAGGGUCAAUCCCCUCCCUUGGCUGGCUGGCAAUGCUUUGCCUGAUGCAACCCAUGAGCCUUUUAUUAUAUUUUCGCUCCCCUGUCCGGGGGAGGAGAAGAAUCAUAGAGCGGCUUUGGUGGGCACCUGGCAUCCAGCCCAGGUCCAAUCACCACAUAUCUAAUCUAAAUCUACCAGUUUUUCAAUUUAAAACCAUUACCCCUUGUUCUGUCACUAUAGGCUCUGGUAAAAAGUCUCUGUCUUUCUUAUGAAACUCCUUUAGGCACUGGAAGGCUGCUGAGAGGUCUCCCUGGAGCCUUAUCUAGGCUGAACAGCCCAACUCUCUCAUCCUGUCUUCAAAAGAGAGGUGCACCACUCUCUUCUGUUCAUCUUCGUGACCCUCCUCUGUACUUUCUCCAACAAGUCCAUGCCUUUCCAUUACCUGAGAUCUCACAGCUGGAUGCAAUACUCCAGGUGAGGUCUUAUAAGAGCAGAAUAGAAGGGGAGCAUUGCCGCCUACAUCACCUGAUGGCCACACUUCUUAUGUAGCCCAGGAUACAAUUUACUUUGGCACACUUUGCCAGCUUGUAAUCACUGCAAAUAAUGACACACUGAAGAGUGAGGAUACUCUGGGAUCCUCUUUCACACUGUGACCUUCAUAUGGACAAGACCCUCUCACUGGGCCUUGGAAGCCCAGGAACAUACUCCUUUAAAAAUAAACUGAAGAAAUCAUGAGCUUCCCACAAGCCUCUUUUAUGUUUCUCUUUCUUUCUCAUCUUCGUUCAAACCCCAUGUUAGGCUGAAAGGAGCCCCAGGCACGACCACAGUGUGGACAGAUGGACAGUGUGAGCAGCUGGCCCUUCCCACCUGACACGGCAGGGAUGGAGGUUACUGCCUCCAUCACCCGCUGAUGGAUCUGUGCUUGCUGCCAGCAGAAGCAAAGGCAGUUCCAGUCAUUUUGGGAGAAAAGCCCUCUGCAGCCUAGAAUGGCCAUGCCAUCAUGCAACUGGAGAAUCAUUUAGGUUGGAAAAGACCUCUAGGAUCAUCAGGUCCAAGUGUUAACUGAGGACUGACAAGUUCACCCCUAAACCAUGUCCCUAAGUGCCACAUCUACACAUCUUUUAAAUACCUCCAGGGGUGAUGAAUCCACCACUUCCCUGGGUAGCCUGUUCCACUGCUUGACAGCCCUUUCAGUGAAGAAAGUUUUCCUGAUAUCCAAUCUAAACCUCCCCUGGCACAACUUGAGGCUAUUUCCUCUUGUCCUGUCACUUAUCACUUGGGAGAAGGUGGUUGCAGAGAGCGAUGCGGUUACUCCUGAGCCUCCUCUUCUCCAGGCUGAACAAAGUGACCUGAGCCACUUCUUAUAAGACUUGUGCUCCAGACCCUACACCACCUUCUUUGCCCUUCUCUGGACAUACUUCAGCUCCUCAAUGUCCUUCUUGUAAUGAGGGGCCCAAAACUGAACCCAGGAUUCAAGCUGCAGCCUCACCAGUGCUGAGUACAGGGGAACAAUCACUGCCCUGGUCCUGCUGGUCACACUAUUUCUGAU